UACGGAGGGGGCUAGCGUUGUCCGGAAUUACUGGGCGUAAAGCGCACGUAGGCGGUUUUGCAAGUUAGAGGUGAAAGCCCGGGGCUCAACUCCGGAAUUGCCUUUAAAACUGCAUCGCUAGAGUUGUGGAGAGGUAAGUGGAAUUCCGGGUGUAGAGGUGAAAUUCGUAGAUAUUCGGAAGAACACCAGUGGCGAAGGCGACUUACUGGACACAUAUUGACGCUGAGGUGCGAAAGCGUGGGGAGCGAACAGG
rnacentral:rRNA from 1 species